rnacentral:ncRNA from 1 species
GUCUUCGAGGCAGGGAGCAUUUCCCGACCGGCGGUAAAGUCCGCAAGCAUUUCGCACGAACCGGUGGAAUUCCGGUACCGACAGUACAGUCUGGAUGAGAGAGGAUG